AGUAAUGGUUUCGUUGCAGCUUUCUCUGCAAGCAUGGUUAACAGGCCACUGAACUGGUACAUAGAUUCCGGCGCAUCUAUGCACAUGACGAUGCAUAGGAAUUGGCUGGAUAAAGAAACUGAACCACCUGUCUCACACAUCAGGAUCGCUAACAAUAAAGUCCUCAGAGUUGAAAGUUGCGGUAAUGUUACCAUCACAGUGCCGGGUGCUCAAGGACACAGCGAUAAAAUACAGAAGGAAAGCAGACAAGACGGCCUUUUCCAGUUGAAGGCUCCCGGGCAACUGAGUUGCUAGAAGUCAUCCACUCCGAUGUAUGUGGACCGAUGGAAACAACAACAUUCGGAGGUGCCAGAUACUUCGUCACUUUCAUUGACGAUUUCUCACGAAAGAAAGAGUACUGGGGUGAAGCUGUCGUCACAGCGGCGUAUAUAAUCAACCGUUCACCAACAAGAGUUCUUUCUGAUAUCACUCCUGAAGAACUUUGGUCAAAAGGAAAACCAGAUUUAAGUCACAUGAAGAUUUUUGGAUGCAAGGCUAUGGUAUUAAUACCCAAAGAGUG